rnacentral:rRNA from 1 species
GACGUAGGAUGCAAGCGUUGUCCGGAUUUAUUGGGCGUAAAGAGUUCGUAGGUGGUUCGUUAAGUCUGAUGUUAAAGACCGGGGCUCAACUUCGGGACUACAUUGGAUACUGGCGGACUUGAGUGUGGUAGAGGCAAUCGGAAUUCCAGGUGUAGCGGUGAAAUGCGUAGAUAUCAGGAGGAACACCAAUGGCGAAGGCAGCACUCUGGGCCGGUACUGACGCUGAGGAGCGAAAGCGUGGGGAGCGAACAGG